rnacentral:rRNA from 1 species
UACGAAGGGGGGCUAGCGUUGUUCGGAUUUACUGGGCGUAAAGCGCACGUAGGCGGAUCGUUAAGUCAGGGGUGAAAUCCUGGAGCUCAACUCCAGAACUGCCUUUGAUACUGAGGAUCUUGAGUUCGGGAGAGGUGAGUGGAACUGCGAGUGUAGAGGUGAAAUUCGUAGAUAUUCGCAAGAACACCAGUGGCGAAGGCGGCUCACUGGCCCGAUACUGGCGCUGAGGCACGAAAGCGUGGGGAGCAAACAGG